rnacentral:rRNA from 1 species
GUGUCAGCCGCCGCGGUAAUACGGAGGGUGCAAGCGUUAUCCGGAUUCACUGGGUUUAAAGGGUGCGUAGGCGGACAGGUAAGUCAGUGGUGAAAUCUCUGGGCUUAACUCAGAAACUGCCGUUGAUACUAUCUGUCUUGAAUAUCCUGGAGGUAAGCGGAAUAUGUCAUGUAGCGGUGAAAUGCUUAGAUAUGACAUAGAACACCGAUAGCGAAGGCAGCUUACUACAGGAUGAUUGACGCUGAGGCACGAAAGCGUGGGGAGCAAACAGGAUUAGAAACCCUCGUAGUCC